UCCCAUGCCCAACAUCUGAAAUUUUAGGGUUCAGUUGUUCAUCCAAUAAAAUGUUGCUUACAUUCAAAUCUCUAUGAAUAAUCUUUACUCUGAGUUUCUGUGAAGGUACAACUCCUCUGUCAAUUUCCUCAGUAACUUUCACAUGGUGACCCCAAUUACAUGAUUCUUUCCGUAGCUCAGUUGGUUGACUAGUUGAACUUUCACCCUAUUGGUGAGGGUUCAUUCCCACCUUGUAAGCACCUCUCCUAUUUCUCCUUCCCCUUCCCCUAUUUUUUUUUAAAGAACAAUAACUAAAAAAUAAAUCAUGUGAAUUUUCCUCUUUAGUGUGCGAACUUGAAAGUACAUAAAUAAAUAGAAAAGUCUGACAUCAAUGAUUUAAAAUCAAAUUUAUCAGUUAGAAAAUCAUCUAAUCUUCUUUUGGCAUGUCUUCAUAGACGAGCAGUUUCUUCCUUUCUUCAAAAUCAGCUGGAAUGCAAGCCUAGCUCCAAAUCCUGAUCCACAAUAACUAUUCCUCAGUCCUGAAUAAGUUAGUGUCGGCUAUAUGAAUCUCCAUUUCUUCAUUUAAGCCCAAAUCAUAUUAUCAUCAUACUAAAAUUUUGUGGAAACACCAAUAAUUUUCUCUACUACUUAACGACAUGGAGUAUGAACUCUUCCCUUCUUCUCGCUUUGAUAUGGAUUCUGUAAAAACUAGAGACAGUACUUGGGAAUUUUCUUCUCUGUAUAUUCCUUGCCAAUCACAUUUAUUAUACAAGCUAAUGGAAUGAAAGGAACCUUCUCGUCUAAGCUAAAAAAUCAAAAUAAAGGAAGAAGUUUCUCUUCUGAGCUAAGCAAUAAAACUCUUAUAAGCUAAACAAAAAUAAAAGAACCUUCUAUUCUAAGCUAAUCAAUGAAAGAAAACAAAGAAAACAUUCAUCUAUUGGGCCGUCUAUGUAUCCCAAAUAUUAGGCCAAAUAAAGCAUCGUGAUUUCUAAUAUCCCCCUCAAGUUGGAGGGGAAAGAAGUGACCCAACUUGCACAAACUUUGAUGGUGAGGAGGCUCGACAAGGGAUUUGGUGAAGAUGUCGGCGAGUUGGUCCUUAGAUGGAACAAAGGAAAGAAAUAUCAAGCCUGAAAGAUAUUGUUGACGAACGAAGUGGCAGUCAAGCUCAACGUGCUUUUUUUGCUCAUGGAGAAUUGGAUUUUGAGCUAUAUAUAGGGCUGCUUGACUGUCGGAGUGAACUGGAACGGGAAGAAAAGGAGGAACGGAUUGAUCGGAGAUUGAUGAACCUCCCAAGCUUAUAAAAAAUCCACUGACUGACUUUCGCAUAGUACGGCAAGAGGCCCAGUAAGCAUCGCAAUAAGCAGCGAGAGAGAAUGAGGGUGAAACAUUGAGAAAGAUGCCCUGAUUCGAAUAUGCUUUCAGAGAACAAGAUUGAAGGAUCUACUGGAGAAGAAGCUGGAGGAAGGUAUGAAAUAUCAAAUUCAUUGAUUAAAUCUAAGGUAUAUUUUUGUUGACUCAUUAUGAUUCCCUGUUCUUCCUACAAAAUUUCCAUUCCCCCAAAAUAAUGUAGUGAGCUGAGGUCCUUAAACUCAAAAUGAAGAAACUCCUUAAGGUUAUGUAUCUCAUCAGUAGCAUCCCCUGUAAUCAAAGUAUCAUCGACAUAGACAACUACGAUAGAGAUAAGCCCUCCUGAUUAUUUAAAGAAUAAGGAAUAAUCAUUGAGGGAGGUUGUAUAACCUUUGAAGUUUAGGGCUUCGAAAAGCCUGGCAUACUAUUGCCUUGAGGUUUUCUUUAAGCCAUAGAGUGACUUUUUAAGUCGACAAACCAUAUUAGGUUGAGGAGAUUCCAUUCCUGUAGGGAAUUUUAUAUA